UUCUUCAUUCCACUGCCCUCUCAGGGUUCCAGCGAUUUCUCCCUUCCCUCUCCUUUUCAGACGUACUGACAUCUUCCCAAACAAUUCCACCCCACUGAACCCACACUGGAUCCUCCCAUCUGCCUCCUGUCCAGUUGAGAUGAGAGAAGGGAGAAGAACUGGAGACAGCUCAACAUUCUCAACUUCCUUAAUGCCUUAAAGAAAUUUUUGAAGCUAUAACUGUCAUCAGUGGGCAAAUUGGCAUAAACAGGCCUCCACAAGUGGAAAAAGCAUUCAACCUCUGUGCUUGUUACACUCUGGACGUGCACAGUAGCCAGAGAAAACAGAAAGAAAAUCUAACUGUCCAUGAACGAAGGGUGAAACCAAGAGGACAACUGCGACCUGAAAGCACCUCUUCAAGGGGAGCCUGAACUUUGCAGAUUUUCUUCGCUCUCAGAGACUCCAAGUAAAUAGGUGAGUGCACAGAGUGAAUCAAUGCAUGUUAACACUGACCUCUACUCUAUGUGAUGUUAGUAUUUCUGACAGAGGCUAAACAGAAGGGUGAAUGAUUAAAUGAAGGAAAGUUAUUUGAGGACUGUUAUUGAAAACUACCACACCUCUGAGAACAAAUUAUGAAAUGAGUUUAUCAUGCUCCUGUCCCAGGGUUAGCCGUGUUCAUGUUAGACAAAUAGAC
rnacentral:lncRNA from 1 species